AUUGAACGCUGGCGGCAGGCCUAACACAUGCAAGUCGAACGAGUGGCGGACGGGUGAGUUAUGUCUGGGAAACUGCCUGAUGGAGGGGGCUAACUACUGGAAACGGUAGCUAAUACCGCAUACAAUCAGAUGUGCCCAGAUGGGAUUCGCUUGUUGGUGGGGGAACGGCUCACCAAGUCGACGAUCCCUAGCUGGUCUGAGAGGAUGAACAGCCAGACGGAAGCGGAGAAACGGACCAGACUCCUACGGGAGGCAGAAGUGGGGAAUAUUGAACAAUGGGCGCAAGCCUGACGAAGCCAUGCCCCGUGUAUGAAGAAGGCCUUCGUGUUGUAAAUUACUUUCAGCGGGGAGGCGUUACCCGCAGAAGAAGCACCGGCUAACUCCGUGCCAGCAGCCGCGGUAAUUC
rnacentral:rRNA from 1 species